UUAUAAUAAAGUUCAAGUUUAAUAUUUACAUUAUAAAAAGUUCUUGAAUAUAUUUUUCUUAUCUACCACAUAUUGUAUUUUAUUUAAUAUUUUAAUCAAAUAAGCAAGUACCUAAAGUGGUUAAUCACAUGACAAUUGAAUACUUGGCGAGUAGGUACAUAAUAUAAAUAAUAUUAUGUACAAUUUGUUGUUUAAUCAUUUAUACAUCUACAAUUGUUGUUUAAAUGUAUAGCAUAUGGUUUGCUGUUACCCAGUGGAUAAUAAAUGCGUUGUUAUAUAAUCAAGUAUCAUAGCACUACAUAGAAAUAUUACUAACAACUAAGAUGUGUCAGCCAAUUAUUGAGUUUUGUUUAUUUUUUUACUUCAAUUUGGCACAUAGAUAGUCCUAGACUAUUUAUAUUUACUACAAACAUACUUAGACAGAUGAUUUAAUUCAUAAAAAAAAGUGAUUAUAAAAUAAUUCAUACACAUAAUAAUAUAUUAUGAUUCCAAAUUGGAAUUUGAAUAUGCAAUAGUAAAAUCUAAUAUCACAUACACUUUGGAAGAUCCUCUAUGUUAAAAUGAUAUUUAUACUACCAUUUCCAAUUACAUUUAAAAAUACCAAUAUUUUGAUAACAGUGAAAAAUAAAAUAUUGCUUCACGUAUUAGAUUUAAAUAUGACUACAAAAUAAAUUAAGUGUAAUUAAGUUAAUAAUUGCAAGAAGUGGAAAAAAUAUCUAUUUGGACAACUAACUGCACAUUACCAAUGAUAUUUAUUGAAAACUAAGAAUUGUGCUAGUGUUAAUGUUUUAUAAUUUGUAUGUAAUUUUAUAAUUAAUUUAUGUGAGGUGACAAUAUCAAUCAU